GACGAACGCUGGCGGCGUGCUUAACACAUGCAAGUCGAGCGGAAAGGCCCUUUCGGGGGUACUCGAGCGGCGAACGGGUGAGUAACACGUGAGUAAUCUGCCCUUCACUUGGGGAUAACCUCCGGAAACGGUGGCUAAUACCCGAUACGACCAUUCCUCGCAUGAGGUGGUUGUGGAAAGUUUUUCGGUGGGGGAUGUGCUCGCGGCCUAUCAGCUUGUUGGUGGGGUAAUGGCCUACCAAGGCUUCGACGGGUAGCCGGCCUGAGAGGGUGACCGGCCACACUGGGACUGAGACACGGCCCAGACUCCUACGGGAGGCAGCAGUGGGGAAUAUUGGACAAUGGGCGGAAGCCUGAUCCAGCAACGCCGCGUGAGGGAUGACGGCCUUCGGGUUGUAAACCUCUUUCACCUGUGACGAAGCGAAAGUGACGGUAGCAGGAGAAGAAGCACCGGCCAACUACGUG
rnacentral:rRNA from 1 species